rnacentral:rRNA from 1 species
UAGGGAAUCUUCGGCAAUGGGGGGAACCCUGACCGAGCAACGCCGCGUGAGUGAAGAAGGUUUUCGGAUCGUAAAGCUCUGUUGUUAAGGAAGAACGAGUGUGAGAAUGGAAAGUUCAUGCUGUGACGGUACUUAACCAGAAAGGGACGGCUAACUACGUGCCAGCAGCCGCGGUAAUACGUAGGUCCCGAGCGUUGUCCGGAUUUAUUGGGCGUAAAGCGAGCGCAGGCGGUUAGAAAAGUCUGAAGUGAAAGGCAGUGGCUCAACCAUUGUAAGCUUUGGAAACUGUUUAACUUGAGUGCAGAAGGGGAGAGUGGAAUUCCAUGUGUAGCGGUGAAAUGCGUAGAUAUAUGGAGGAACACCGGUGGCGAAAGCGGCUCUCUGGUAUGUAACUGACGCGGAGGCUCGAAAGCGUGGGGAGCGAACAGG